UCAUCGAGCGCAUGCAUUCGUGACGAAACUGUAAAGCAUGCGCACGUUUAAACAGUACACAGGACAACGAACAAUUAUCGCAACUUUCGUCGUUGACCAUUCCUGACAUGCACCGCGCGCGUGUUCUAGAUCUUCAAGUUACACAUUUAAUCACAAUUAAUCAUAAAAUGAAAGAAUUCGUCGGUUGCUUAAUUCUUAACGCACAACACAUUAGACGCCAUAAUAUGAAGGAAACGAGUCAGAAUUACUUGCAACGUCAUACGACAAGCAUCGGCUCGACGAUCUUGUUGCUGAUAAACGAACGAACGAUGCUACUUUCCAGGUGAAACUAGAUAAAAUGUACCGGUGGUUUGCGUAAGAAGGAUCCAAAGCGCAAGUACUGUCAAGCAUGGAUGAGUAACGACCAACAACUAACUCGUUAAGCGAAUUCUCGUUUCCGAUCUAUAGUUCGAGACGUGUGAUCUAUCGAAUAUUUUCCUGGGCCCUAGCGGUUUCUAUCGUUGACGUGGUAAAACUUUAACGAGUAAUAGCAAGAAAGGGAAAUCUCACCGUCUGGAAGCGAUGCGUUGCGG